UAAAAUAAAAUGUCCCCUUCGUUACUGAUGUGGCCUUCAAUCUGUGUACAAUAGGUUUGCUAAUUCUUUAUCUGAGUUCAUCGGAUUUGGCAUUCAUCACAGGCGCAGUGGGACAACCUUAGGCCUCCUUUGCCACAGCAAGGAGGAAGACCACAGCGGAACUUCUGGAGCUGUCAGAUUCUCCAAAAGAGGACAGAAGAGAGGGGAGGAGAGAGGUAGGGAUCAGGGAUGCUGAACAACCUGCAGUGCACCUGUGCCACGAUGAAUCUUCACACUCCCUCAUUCCUCUUAGAGAAACUCGGGAAGCUGACAUGCCUCCGUGUGGAAACAAGGGGAGCAGGGAAUAAAGAUUCCCACCUCUCCCGUCAGUAAA